UAUGGUAGUGCCAGCCGCCGCGGUAAUACGUAGGUGGCAAGCGUUAUCCGGAAUUACUGGGUGUAAAGGGAGCGCAGGCGGGAUAGCAAGUCAGCUGUGAAAACUAUGGGCUCAACCCAUAAACUGCAGUUGAAACUGUUAUUCUUGAGUGGAGUAGAGGCAAGCGGAAUUCCGAGUGUAGCGGUGAAAUGCGUAGAUAUUCGGAGGAACACCAGUGGCGAAGGCGGCUUGCUGGGCUCUAACUGACGCUGAGGCUCGAAAGUGUGGGGAGCAAACAGG
rnacentral:rRNA from 1 species